GUAUUGUUUCAAUUUAUAGCCCGUGGGCGUUGUACAUUCGGUAGACUGUAUGCGUUUGUGAAGUGUUAAAGAAGAGCGACCCCGGCCCGGAGCGAAUCCGGGCUGCUCCCCCGGGGGGGGGGGGAGGAUCACGCCUUCGAUAAUGUUAAGUGCACGGGUGUUGAGUGGAUUGAGAGCGGGGCGAGCACAUGCCCCCUGGGGGGCCAGCGUCAAACCCACUUCAAAGACUCGGUAAUGAUCCUUCCGCAGGUUCACCUACGGAAA
rnacentral:misc_RNA from 1 species